rnacentral:rRNA from 1 species
CCUUUGACGUUAGCGGAGGACGGGUGAGUAACACGUGGGUAACCUACCUAUAAGACUGGGAUAACUUCGGGAAACCGGAGCUAAUACCGGAUAAUAUUUCGAACCGCAUGGUUCGAUAGUGAAAGAUGGUUUUGCUAUCACUUAUAGAUGGACCCGCGCCGUAUUAGCUAGUUGGUAAGGUAACGGCUUACCAAGGCGACGAUACGUAGCCGACCUGAGAGGGUGAUCGGCCACACUGGAACUGAGACACGGUCCAGACUCCUACGGGAGGCAGCAGCG